UUUAAUCCUUUACAGGACCUAUUAGAGGGCAAGUCUGGUGCCAGCAGCCGCGGUAAUUCCAGCUCUAAUAGCGUAUAUUAAAGUUGUUGCGGUUAAAACGUUCGUAGUUGAACUUGUGCUUCAUACGGGUAGUACACCUAAAAUUUGGGUUAGUACGUCACCUUAUUGUAUGUAAGCGUAUUACCGGUGGAGUUCUUAUAUAUUAUUUUCAAUAAUAUAUUCCUCCUAUAUAAACCUGAUUCAAUGCUCUUUACCGAGUGUUGUUUUGGGCCGGUACAGUUACUUUGAACAAAUUAGAGUGCUUAAAGCAGGCUAUUAAUGCCUGAAUAUCUGUGCAUGGAAUAAUGGAAUAAGACCUCUGUUCUAAUUUCAUUGGUUUUUAGAUCAAGAGGUAAUGAUUAAUAGAAGCAGUUGGGGGCAUUAGUAUUACGACGCGAGAGGUGAAAUUCUUGGACCGUCGUAAGACUAACUUAAGCGAAAGCAUUUGCCAAAGAUGUUUUCAUUAAUCAAGAACGAAAGUUAGAGGUUCGAAGGCGAUCAGAUACCGCCCUAGUUCUAACCAUAAACGAUGCCAGCCAGCAAUUGGGUGUAGCUACUAUUAUGGCUCUCUCAGUCGCUUCCCGGGAAACCAAAGCUUUUGGGCUCCGGGGGAAGUAUGGUUGCAAAGCUGAAACUUAAAGGAAUUGACGGAAGGGCACCA
rnacentral:rRNA from 1 species